rnacentral:rRNA from 1 species
GAUGAACGCUGGCGGCGUGCCUAAUACAUGCAAGUCGAGCGAACGGACGAGAAGCUUGCUUCUCUGAUGUUAGCGGCGGACGGGUGAGUAACACGUGGAUAACCUACCUAUAAGACUGGGAUAACUUCGGGAAACCGUAGCUAAUACCGGAUAAUAUUUUGAACCGCAUGGUUCAAAAGUGAAAGACGGUCUUGCUGUCACUUAUAGAUGGAUCCGCGCUGCAUUAGCUAGUUGGUAAGGUAACGGCUUACCAAGGCAACGAUGCAUAGCCGACCUGAGAGGGUGGUCGGCCACACUGGAACUGAGACACGGUCCAGACUCCUACGGGAGGGAGCAGUAGGGAAUCUUGCGCAAUGGGCGAAAGCCUUACGGAGCAACGCCGAGUGAGUGAUGAAGGUCUUCGGAUCGUAAAACUCUGUUAUUAGGGAAGAACAUAUGUGUAAGUAACUGUGCACAUCUUGACGGUACCUAAUCAGAAAGCCACGGCUAACUACGUG